rnacentral:rRNA from 1 species
UACGUAGGGCGCAAGCGUUUAUCCGGAAUUAUUGGGCGUAAAGAGCUCGUAGGCGGUUUGUCGCGUCUGCCGUGAAAGUCCGGGGCUCAACUCCGGAUCUGCGGUGGGUACGGGCAGACUAGAGUGAUGUAGGGGAGGACUGGAAUUCCUGGUGUAGCGGUGAAAUGCGCAGAUAUCAGGAGGAACACCGAUGGCGAAGGCAGGUCUCUGGGCAUUAACUGACGCUGAGGAGCGAAAGCAUGGGGAGCGAACAGG